GCCUUCGUGGUGUAGUGGUCAGCACGCCUGAAGCGUAUUCAAGAGGUCUGUGGUUCGAGUCCCGGCAAGGGCA
rfam:Stegodyphus mimosarum contig26491, whole genome shotgun sequence.